UGACAGCCAUAAUCGUAUUCUGAUAAUACACGUUGGUGCUCAAAUAUUUUCAGAUGGCCCGUGCAAAGUCAUGCCACCAGUCUGAGGACAUCACUGGGAAUGGCACAUGGGACACGUGGCUUUCAACUCCAGCGAGACCCAAGUCGACUGGACCACAGCGGAAAAUGAUCCUUCCAGAGAAGAAGUUAUUUACUUCUACAACGAAUGGAAGAGUUACAACUUCCAGAUGACAGCUCGCCGCUCAUCCUUCUGGGCAACUUGAACAUCCGACAGAACUUAUGUGACCUACUGCGUUUAUUUUCUCCUUUAGCUCUCACUAACUCUAACUUGCCCCAGCACCUGUUGUGAUUUAUUCUAGCGCUUCCACAAUUGAAUUUUGCUUGGUAUUUCAUCUAACUUGCCCCAGCACCUGUUGUGAUUUAUUCUAGCGCUUCCACAAUUGAAUUUUGCUUGUUAUUUUAUCUAACUUGCCCCAGCACCUGUUGUGAUUAAUUCUCUCUCACGGUGUCAAGUGUGUACCUUGAUCUUUUUUUUGCUCAUUGCAGCCCUUCUCUGCAAGGAGUGCUAACAAUGCAUGGUGCUGUUCAUUAAGCAACUGGGUAAAGAGCUUGUAAUGCCACAUAUGAAAAAGCUCAUAAGCUCAUUUAUAAUAAAAUAAUAUAUAUAAUCUUG